rnacentral:tRNA from 1 species
ACUAUUUUGGCAGAGAAAUGUAAUGGUUUUAGAAAUCAUAGAUAUAUAAUAAAUUAUAUAAGUAGUA